rnacentral:rRNA from 1 species
GCUUAUACAGGUGUUGCAUGGCUGUCGUCAGCUCGUGUCGUGAGAUGUUCGGUUAAGUCCGCUAACGAGCGCAACCCUCGCCGUAUGUUACAAGUGUCAUACGGGACUGCCGGUAAAAAGCCGGAGGAAGGUGAGGAUGAUGUCAAGUCAGCAUGACCUUUAUAUCCAGGGCUACACACACGCUACAAUGGUCUGUACAAUUGGUUGCCAAGCCGCGAGGCGGAGCCAAUCCGUAAAGCAGGCCUCAGUUCAGAUUGCAGUCUGCAACUCGACUGCAUGAAGCCGGAGUUGCUAGUAACCGCAGGUCAGCAAUACUGCGGUGAAUACGUUCCCGGGUCUU